AUGCUCACUUUGGCAGCACAUAUAAAUAAAAUUGGAAUGAUAUAGAGAAGAUUAGCAUGGCCCCUAAAAAAAAAUGCAAUCUAAAAACAAAGCUUUCUUCUCUGUGCUU
rnacentral:snRNA from 1 species